UAGGUUUCUCUGGUUCACAAACAAGGUGGAUAGGCCGCAGUUAUAAAAUUGGCAGAUCACAGGCUACUAGACGGUUCCAUUGGCAAUGUAAAGAUGGAAGUAACCAAGGAUGGACUGUGUCUCGAAAAGAAGCAAGAAAAGCGGGAAGAAAUGGUUGUAGCUAGAAACGGCGGGAGGAAACGGCUUCUCGCAAUUAGAAAGCCAGCUUAUUAAUUGCAAAGAUUAUUAAUGUUUAAUUAAUAUCUUGAUUUCUUUUCUUUUGGAAAAAUAUAUUCCACGCACGGACAGAUCAAUAAUAAAAAUGUAAUGGGAAUAGAACUUCGCUCGGAUUAAAUUAAACUAAAAGUUCUAGUAGAAUAAUCCAGUGAUAACUUAUAUAAAGAAUAAUAUGAGUAUUAACGAAUCGAAAUUCGUCCCCUGGAAUGAAGAAAGGGCCUUUAAGAUGGAACUUAGACUUGGUUCAAGUUCAUCUCUCAAUGGAUGGAAAAAGUGAGCCAUAUAUUGCUUUAUUUUGCUCACAUGAUAAUACCGGAUACCUAGUGAAGUAUAUUGAUCAAUUCCUAGGAUGUACCGGGAUCAAAAUUAAUUCACCUCGCUUUAAGUAGUGAUUUAUUCGUACGAGAUGUCAUUCCGAAUCCUCCAAUUCAGACUGGCCUGACUAGAUUUCAAGUUCUUGUAUUUUGACCCAGUUCUAGACUUCGGAGGCCUCGGACUGGAUCCAAUUGCGCGGACUUGAAAUCUAGAUCUCAAACUCAUUAGUAAUUAAUCAGUAAAUUAGCCAACCAUAUUGCUUUAUUAAUUUUGCUCACAUGAUAAUACUGGAUCGAUACCUGGUGAAGUAUACUGAUCCAUUCCUGGGACUAGAUCAAAAUUAAUUCAGUCGUUGGACUGGAUUAAAAUUAAUUCACCUCAAUUUAAGUAGUGAUUCAUUCGUAUGAGAUAUCAUUUCAAAUCCUCCAAUUUGGACUGGACUAGAUUUCAUGACUCAUGUCCUCGCAUUUUGAUUCAGUCCUCGGCUUCGCCUCGACUUGAAAUCUAGUCCAGUCCUCAUAGACGGAUUUGAAAUAUUACAUCAGUCUUCUUCAUAGUCGGAUCUGAAAUAUUUCAUGAAUACGUGAGCGGUGAAAAAAGGCCCAAAAGACUGACUUGUAACAAGUCUAGGUGCAAUUGUGCUCCAAGAAAAAGUUUAUUUUUUAUUUUUGAAUUACUUGGAAGGUGAUUCUUCUUUCCCACACUUUUUAAAAGUGAAAAAUGAAAUCCAACUAUUCGCCUCGCUUUUCCCUAUAGACAGCCCUGAGAAGGGGCACUAUAUAUAUGCCAGCUUGUGGUGUACAAAUAGACAUAGAAAUAUCCCGUAGUGGCUAAAUUGCUGCCGUCGUGAAUCAGAUUUUUAGUCAUUUCGUGACCAAACAAUCUGAACUUAAGUAUCAAUAUGAUAUGACUAUCAUGCAAUAUCAGUUUUUUUUUAAGGAGAGGUGUGUUUUAUAUAAUUAGCGUUUUCUAACACCUGCAUUUGCAACACCAGAAUGCAAUUUACAUGUGACAAUCAAUGCUUAGCUCGCAGGGUAGUGACAAUCAGGGCCGUGGCGACCAGGGUGGGGGGUAUUACACCCCCCAAUAAUCGUGGAUAAUAUAUUUCAGGUAAAUGUCAGAUAAAUUUGAUUGAAAAUUCAGGUAACAAUCGUGUCUGAAAUCAGGGAAGAAAUCUAGAGUCGGUAAAGUGCCACUUUCAGCAUUUUGGCGGCUGUUUUAAUGUGUUUUGAUGCCAUUUUAUAACAACCAUUUAACACAUCACACAACUCCAUUUAAUUUAACACAACUCCGACACAAUCACAAACGAAUCCAGAACAUUUAAAACAUAGGAAGAUUUAAUGCAUAUGCUUUUCCUCGUCAGAAUGUUUCCAAGGGGGCCCAAUAUUUUGUAAGGGGACUGUGGGCAUGUCCCGAUCGUGCUCAUAAAAUCCCAAAAAGUUGCUAACUAGAACCAAAAAGUUGCUAUCUAAAAAGCAUUAAAGUUGCUCAAAAAUGGCCCGAAAUAAAAAAAUAAAGUAUAAAAUUCAAAAAUUUGUUCGUACUCAUUAGACAUCACGUUAAUUUCACGACAUACGUUAAUUAAAAACUUUAUACAAUUUCUGCAGCCUCAGUGCAGGCCCGGAUAAAUUGUUUGGAAUUAUAAACAGAAAACGUUUUCCUUACAAAAGUUUAACAAAUGACAAAAUAAAAGUCAUACAAAGUUGACAUUCAGCUGAGCAAUAUGAGAUUACUUGGAGUAAAUCGUCUGAUUCAAGUACAAAGUAACGUCACAAAUUUUAUGGUUUCAUAUCUCUGCGUUCUAAUAUUAAUGAUUUCUAGUCUGGAGUCCGAUAACUCCGUGUCUCAUGUCAUAUACAACGUUUAUAUAAAAUAUAAAAUAUAAAUGAUAAUAUAAGAAUACAAUAACUACAAUAAAUAUCACACAUAUUGUGCCUUUAUCAGUGCCUUGAUGAUGAAACUAACAAGUCUGACAGCAGAGGCCGUGGAAGCAUUUCGAAAGUGGAGGGGCAUUGGCCAAAAGGGGCACUUUUGUAUAUGAUCAAAAUCAAACGAUUUUAUGUCGUUCACGAGCCCACCCUCCCGCGUAUUCCCGCCAUUCUUGUCGCGCAGUGAACCUAAUGUUUGUUCAGAGUUAAAGGACAUUUACCAAACUGUUUUGCUCAGUGUCAAAGACUACAAAUUUUGUUCAAAAUGUGGAGUAAUAUAAUGCAUAUGUGUGUGUUUUUUAACACCAAAAAUGUCUAAAAAACUGUCUGACAAAGAAGCUGUUCGAAACUCAUUAAAGUUGCGUUUUGAACAAUUCAACUUCAGAUUUUACUGAUUUUUAACCCCUUUUCUUCAGUAUCUAGUCCUUGCAUUUGCUGAUACAUGGCCUUGAAUUUGACUCUCCCUCGCAUGUUCGAAACCUGUAUAAAUCUAACCUCGAUCAUUCAACUAGUCAACUGUG